GAUGAACGCUGGCGGCGUGCUUGACACAUGCAAGUCGAACGAUGAAGCCCAGCUUGCUGGGUGGAUUAGUGGCGAACGGGUGAGUAACACGUGAGUAACCUGCCCUUAACUCUGGGAUAAGCCUGGGAAACUGGGUCUAAUACCGGAUAGGAGCGUCCACCGCAUGGUGGGUGUUGGAAAGAUUUAUCGGUUUUGGAUGGACUCGCGGCCUAUCAGCUUGUUGGUGAGGUAAUGGCUCACCAAGGCGACGACGGGUAGCCGGCCUGAGAGGGUGACCGGCCACACUGGGACUGAGACACGGCCCAGACUCCUACGGGAGGCAGCAGUGGGGAAUAUUGCACAAUGGGCGCAAGCCUGAUGCAGCGACGCCGCGUGAGGGAUGACGGCCUUCGGGUUGUAAACCUCUUUCAGUAGGGAAGAAGCGAAAGUGACGGUACCUGCAGAAGAAGCACCGGCUAACUACGUG
rnacentral:rRNA from 1 species